CGACGAGUGGCGAACGGGUGAGUAAUACAUCGGAACGUGUCCGCUCGUGGGGGACAACCAGCCGAAAGGUUGGCUAAUACCGCAUGAGUUCUACGGAAGAAAGAGGGGGACCCGCAAGGGCCUCUCGCGAGCGGAGCGGCCGAUGACUGAUUAGCCUGUUGGUGAGGUAACGGCUCACCAAAGCAACGAUCAGUAGCUGGUCUGAGAGGACGACCAGCCACACUGGGACUGAGACACGGCCCAGACUCCUACGGGAGGCAGCAGUGGGGAAUUUUGGACAAUGGGCGCAAGCCUGAUCCAGCUAUUCCGCGUGUGGGAUGAAGGCCCUCGGGUUGUAAACCACUUUUGUAGAGAACGAAAAGACACCAUCGAAUAAAUGGUGUUGCUGACGGUACUCUAAGAAUAAGCACCGGCUAACUACGUGCCAGCAGCCGCGGUAAUACGUAGGGUGCGAGCGUUAAUCGGAAUUACUGGGCGUAAAGGGUGCGCAGGCGGUUGAGUAAGACAGAUGUGAAAUCCCCGAGCUUAACUCGGGAAUGGCAUAUGUGACUGCUCGACUAGAGUGUGUCAGAGGGAGGUGGAAUUCCACGUGUAGCAGUGAAAUGCGUAGAUAUGUGGAAGAACACCGAUGGCGAAGGCAGCCUCCUGGGACAUAACUGACGCUCAGGCACGAAAGCGUGGGGAGCAAACAGGAUUAGAUACCCUGGUAGUCCACGCCCUAAACGAUGUUAACUAGUUGUUGGGAUGUAACAAUCUCAGUAACGCAGCCAACGCGAGAAGUUAACCGCCUGGGAAGUACGGUCGCAAGACUAAAACUCAAAGGAAUUGACGGGGACCCGCACAA
rnacentral:rRNA from 1 species